UGUGUAGGCGGUUCCCUAAGUUUGGUGUGAAAUCUCCCGGCUCAACUGGGAGGGUGCGCCGAAAACUGGGGGGCUAGAGUACUGGAUGGGAGAGUGGAAUUCCUGGUGUAGCGGUGAAAUGCGUAGAUAUCAGGAGGAACACCGGUGGUGUAGACGGCUCUCUGGACAGUAACUGACGCUGAGACACGAAAGCGUGGGUAGCAAACA
rnacentral:rRNA from 1 species